CAGCUGUCGAAACAUCUGAGAGUGACAUUUACAUGCGUUUUAUGAAGUCACAUAAGUGCUAUGACAUCGUCCCCACCAGCUCCAAGAUAGUGGUCUUUGACACAACGCUGCAGGUUAAAAAGGCCUUUUUUGCCCUGGUAGCCAAUGGGGUUCGAGCAGCCCCUCUGUGGGAGACCAAGAAACAGAGUUUUGUGGGCAUGCUAACCAUCACAGACUUCAUCAACAUACUUCACAGAUACUACAAAUCACCCAUGGUACAAAUCUACGAGCUUGAGGAACACAAAAUAGAAACUUGGAGAGAGCUCUAUCUACAAGAAACAUUUAAGCCUUUAGUGAACAUAUCUCCAGAUGCAAGCAUAUUUAAUGCUGUGUAUUCACUGAUCAAAAACAAGAUCCACCGGUUGCCGGUCAUCGACCCCAUUAGUGGAAAUGCACUUUAUAUUUUGACGCACAAGAGGAUCCUGAAAUUCCUUCAGCUGUUUGUGUGUGAGAUGCCAAAGCCCGGUUUUAUGAAGCAGACACUGGAAGAGCUGAGUAUCGGGACCUACAGCAACAUCGCCUUCAUUCACCCUGACACUCCAAUCAUUAAAGCACUUAGCAUCUUUGUGGAGAGGCGGGUGUCAGCGCUGCCUGUGGUGGACGAGUCAGGAAAAGUUGUAGAUAUUUAUUCCAAAUUUGAUGUCAUUAAUCUUGCUGCUGAAAAGACAUACAAUAACCUGGACAUUAGUGUGACACAGGCGCUAAUGCACAGGUCGCAGUACUUUGAAGGGGUCAUGAAGUGCAACAGAUUUGAGACACUGGAGACGAUAGUAGAUCGGAUAGUCAAGGCUGAGGUGCACAGGUUGGUGGUUGUAGAUGAGAAUGGAAGCAUUGUGGGCAUUGUCUCUCUUUCGGACAUUCUCCAGGCACUUGUUCUCAACCCUGCAGGUAUAAAUGCUCAGCACUCCUAAAGUUCAUUUCCUGCAGGACCGUCAUCCUACCAUCCCCUCCCACCAGAGCAUCAGGUUUGACCAGAAAGAACAGCGAAGCAGAGACGGAGUGACAUGAGCUGAGACUGUUAGGUCAUGUGACAUUGCUUUCAGAGACUGGAGCAGGGCUGAAUGGAGACGCUAAAGUCUUUGGAGAAGUGCGGACCACACCAAAAGAUGGAGUAAAACCAAGGACCAUGGGCUUGACCGAAAUAUGUGCUGUUGAAGGGCAAGAGAAGGUUUUUUUGGGUAGAUUGUUUGGUUGAUGAGUCUAUUGUCUGAAAAUGAAUGGACGUAGUGGGCAUCUAGGGAGAUAUGUUGGAUCAGCUCUUAUUCAGAAGGAUAUGGUGAACUCAGAAUCUUAUAUCACACUAAAGCUUCUGCACGUACUCUGUGAUAAACUAGACUUUUAGCUAGACCUAAAACUGCGCCAUCUGGUGUUUAAACAGUGGUCUGUACCAUAAUAGCCACUUUAGGGAGGGUGGUUGUGCGUUGCAGGGCAUUCAGUAAUAAUCUCAGUAUUCAAGUGCAUGUAAUGACUGUUUUUUCCUAAUGUAUAGAGCCUUCAUAUUGUGGCUUAUGUGCCCAGCUCACAUAUUUGUAUUUUUGACUACUGAAUUUAGGGACGUCUCAUUAUCAGUUUUAGUAUGAAUAUCCCUCAACCAUCUCUCUGUCUUUGUAUGAUGUCCCUGUAAAUUCAGACACAAGUGGUUUCCUCUAUCUAUCUAUGGUGCCUUUUGUUCACCAGUUUUUGCCCACUACUGGUUGCCAGUCGAACAAGAAUAAUUGAAUGUUAAAAUAUAUCAAAGUGAAUGUUGUUUAAAACCAAAAUAACCCCCACCUUUUUUUUUUUGCAGUUUAAAUUUUUCACAAAUUUUAUUUAUAGCAGAGCUCUGAUUUUCUUCACUGGGAUAUACAUUUGGGUGAUGAUAUUUCUGGAAUGAUUAUGUAAAGGAUCAUUGAAAUGGUUAUUUAUUUAUUUGUAACACUUUUGUAAUGUUGAAAGUGAUAUCGAAGUAUGAAACUGAAAGAACUAUUAAGCCCCUAUGCAGUAAAACCAUGUACUGAUCACUGAUUUGAUGUCCAAUGACUUGGUGUCCUUUUGUCCAUGAGGCAACAGACCUCUUGUUGUUUGUAUUGAUUGCACUGUACACAUGCACAGAGCUUCUAUUCGAGGAGACUACAAGUGCCAGAGAAAGGUCUAUUUUUCUGUGUAUUCAGUCGUUUGUAAUAUUGCACAUCAUUGUUUUGGUUCUCCUCAUUUUGCAGAUAUGAUGUUGAUACUGUCAUUAAGAGAGAGUGAUGUCCAUAGAUAAAUGUACAUCACUGGUAUUAGAAUGCUAAUGCAUAAUCGGGCUUUAGAGUCCUUUUUUAUUUUACAGUUAAAUAAAAAAGAAUAA